rnacentral:rRNA from 1 species
UACGGGGGGGGCAAGCGUUGUUCGGAAUUACUGGGCGUAAAGGGCUCGUAGGCGGCCAACUAAGUCAGACGUGAAAUCCCCAGGCUCAACCUGGGAACUGCGUCUGAUACUGGAUGGCUUGAAUCCGGGAGAGGGAUGCAGAAUUCCAGGUGUAGCGGUGAAAUGCGUAGAUAUCUGGAGGAAUACCGGUGGCGAAGGCGGCAUCCUGGACCGAGAUCGACGCUGAGGCGCGAAAGCUAGGGGAGCAAACGGG